AAGAAUUAAAUAAACCGAUUGUC
rnacentral:snRNA from 1 species